rnacentral:misc_RNA from 1 species
AAUUCUCAACUGCCUUUUAGCAUUUAUGUUAAGGUGAAGUUGGAGUUGGAGGAUAACUGCUGGCGCAACUUAGGUUGCUUGUUAGCUCCUCUUAAAUGGAUAAGCUUUUCUGAUAGAUUAUAGCUCAGUAAUAUUAAUGUGAUAAUGAUCUACAUUAUAUGUGAAAGCUAUAAGUAGAGUAACUUCAAUUUAUGGAGAAGCUCUCUAUAGAAAGGGUAUAUAUUAUGGGGAUAAUAAACUCAUAACUUGACAA